rnacentral:rRNA from 1 species
UACGUAGGGAGCUAGCGUUGUCCGGAAUCAUUGGGCGUAAAGCGCGCGUAGGCGGCCCGGUAAGUCCGCUGUGAAAGUCCAGGGCUCAACCCUGGAAAGCCGGUGGAUACUGCCGGGCUAGAGUCCGGAAGAGGCGAGUGGAAUUCCUGGUGUAGCGGUGGAAUGCGCAGAUAUCAGGAGGAACACCAAUAGCGAAGGCAGCUCGCUGGGACGGUACUGACGCUGAGGUGCGAAAGCGUGGGGAGCGAACAGG